GACAGAGGGUGCAAACGUUGUUCGGAAUUACUGGGCGUAAAGCGCGUGUAGGCGGCCCUGCAAGUCGGAUGUGAAAUCCCACGGCUCAACCGUGGAAGUGCAUUCGAAACUGCAGGGCUAGAGUCCUGGAGAGGAAGGUGGAAUGCUUGGUGUAGAGGUGAAAUUCGUAGAUAUCAAGCGGAACACCGGUGGCGAAGGCGGCCUUCUGAACAGUGACUGACGCUGAGACGCGAAAGCGUGGGGAGCAAACAGG
rnacentral:rRNA from 1 species